rnacentral:rRNA from 1 species
GUUUUAAGCAUGCAAGUCGAACGGCAGCAUGAUAGAGCUUGCUCUAUUGAUGGCGAGUGGCGGACGGGUGAGUAACGCGUAGGAAUUUACCUGCAGGACUGGGAUAGCUAAGGGAAACUUUAGGUAAUACCGGAUGAUAUCGAGAGAUCAAAGGGGCUUUACGGCCUUGCCUAUAGAUGAGCCUGCGUACCAUCAGCUAGUUGGUUAGGUAAUAGCUGACCAAGGCUAAGACGGUUAGCCGGCUUGAGAGAGUGGCCGGCCACAAGGGUACUGAGACACGGACCCUACUCCUACGGGAGGCAGCAGCCAAGAAUAUUCCGCAAUGGGGGAAACCCUGACGGAGCGACACUGUGUGAAUGAUGAAGGCCUUCGGGUUGUAAAGUUCUUUUAUAAAGGAAGAAUAAGUUGGGUAGGAAAUGAUUCAAUGAUGACGGUACUUUAUGAAUAAGUCCCGGCUAAUUACGUGCCAGCAGCCGCGGUAAUACGUAAGGGACGAGCGUUAUUCGGAAUUACUGGGCGUAAAGGGCGUGUAGGCGGCCGAUUAGGCUGAGUGUUAAAGACUGGGGCUCAACUCCAGAAAGGCAUUCAGAACCGGUUGGCUAGAAUCUGGUGGAAGACAGCGGAAUUUCCUGUGUAGCGGUGGAAUGCAUAGAUAUGGGAAGGAACACCAAAGGCGAAGGCAGCUGUCUAUGCCGAGAUUGACGCUGAGGCGCGAAAGUGUGGGGAUCAAAUAGGAUUAGAUACCCUAGUAGUCCACACUGUAAACGAUGUACACUUAGAAUUGCGCGAGAGCGUGGUUCUGUAGCUAACGCGGUAAGUGUACCGCCUGGGGAGUACGCUCGCAAGGGUGAAACUCAAAGAAAUUGACGGGGGCCCGCACAAGUGGUGGAGCACGUGGAUUAAUUCGAUGCUAAGCGAAGAACCUUACCAAGGCUUGACAUAUACGGAAUACAUUAGAAAUAGUGUAGUCUUCGGACCCGUAUACGGGUGCUGCAUGGCUGUCGGCAGCUCGUGUCG